CCAGACUCCUACGGGAGGCAGCAGUGGGGGAUAUUGCACAAUGGGGGAAACCCUGAUGCAGCGACGCCGCGUGGGUGAGGAAGUAUUUCGGUAUGUAAAGCCCUAUCAGCAGGGAAGAAGAUGACAGUACCUGACUAAGAAGCCCCGGCUAACUACGUGCCAGCAGCCGCGGUAAUACGUAUGGAGCAAGCGUUAUCCGGAUUUACUGGGUGUAAAGGGAGCGUAGGCGGCCUGCCAAGUCUGAUGUGAAAUACCGGGGCUCAACCCCGGGGCUGCAUUGGAAACUGGCAGGCUGGAGUGUCGGAGAGGCAGGCGGAAUUCCUAGUGUAGCGGUGAAAUGCGUAGAUAUUAGGAGGAACACCAGUGGCGAAGGCGGCCUGCUGGACGAUGACUGACGCUGAGGCUCGAAAGCGUGGGGAGCAAACAGGAUUAGAUACCCGCGUA
rnacentral:rRNA from 1 species